UCAUUUUAAUUCAAAUGUCCUGGACAGUUUGACCCGGAAGUCUAGGGUUGUGGAGAAGAUUCAUUUGGCUCACAUCUGGGUUAACUUACACAGACAUACACCUGCGUUUCCUCUCCCAGCCAGCCAGUGCCUUCCAGGGGUGUGGAGGAACCAGGUGUCUCUGGCAGCCCACCACUUGGAGGCUGCCCAGUAGCUUUGCCGUCUUAGCAUUUUGUGGGGGUGUAUCAUUUAAUACCGUGAAAAGCCUGUUGUAUGGCCUACAUGGUAUGGUUGAAAUUUUUAAAUGAGGAAAGUGGGGCUAAGAGAAUUGGCUGCACCCCCAGAGUCAUGCAUCUGGUGUCAUAGCUGGUGGAGCCUGUUCUGACACCAGCAGGUGUCACGCAGUUCAACCCCGUGCUGACAUGAUACUGGAGUCGCGGCAGGCAGAGCCACCCACAGCCUCUCCUGGCAUCCCCUGCCUGAGCAGACCAGCCUCCCGAGGCUGGUAUUAAGCAUCAAGGCUCUCCUUUUCACUGCAGUCUACCUUUCCAUUUGUAUUUCUUACUGCCCUUCACAUCCCCUUCAUGCAGCAGGCUGAGUGGACCAUUUGCAUCUACACUUGCCUCCGUUUACCUAGGACUUAUAACAGAAUAUUCACAUACUUAGCCCACCUGACAUCCAUGACCCAGACCACCGGACAUCUGGAAGAUUAUCAUCUCAGGUCAAUCUAGAAGCCAAGAAUGCAUGACUGAAUCUUUUUAAUAAUGUAAUUUUUCCUGUAAGAACUCUUAUUUUUCUUUCUUUUUUGAAACACUCAGGAUAUUGCCUAGUUGUGUUUCCAUUUUGCAAGCCCUAAGACCCUUGAGUAAAAAUCUUUAUUUAUUUCUAA